AAGCCCCGGACACCCUCUGGUGUGGAUGCAAAUUUGCACUUUGC
rnacentral:tRNA from 1 species